rnacentral:rRNA from 1 species
GAGUUCAAGAGUACGUGAAACCGUUCAGGGGUAAACGGGAGAAAUCCUGAAUUCGAAAGGGGCCGGAUUCAAGUCCAUCCUGAUUGCGCAGGCCGUCUGCCCCGCCAGAUGGUGCCGGUCGCCCGCGGCGAUUCAUUUCGCUUGCGGUGUCGUUCCCGGCGCUCACUCGGUGGGGUGGCGUUGCUCUCGCAUCGGAGGAGUGCACUUCCACCCUAGUAGAAACGUCGCGACCCGUUGGGUGCCGGUCUAAGGCCCGGGAUGGCAGACCACGUGUCCUGCGGGGGCUCUCGCAGGCGCGCGGACUCCUGGUGACCCGGCCGGCUGCCCGACGGUAGGACCAGAGGGGUCGAUCCGCUACCUUGGAAACACUUUGGCUGUGUAGCGUCCGGCCCGGUGCCGACACGUGCGGGGAUUAAGGCGCAAGCCGUGGGUGUCCGUGCUAAGCACGGCCCCUGCCCCGCCGCGUCGUCGGUUUUCCGGUGUCCUCGGACUGGAUCGUUACCCCCGUCUGCGACGCCCAUCUCCGGAUGGUCUCCA